GUCACAUAUAAUUGCACUGUCACUUUUACAGUAGUCACGAGAUUGUCCUGUCGGCACAGCAGUUGAUGGACACAGCAGGUAGCAGGUCUGUUACCUCCAAGGGCCCAG